GCCGAGCGGUAGAGAUCUUUCGGGAUCUUGAGAGCGGCGUACGGGUGCGGAACACGUGUGCAACCUGCCUUUAUCAGGGGGAUAGCCUUUCGAAAGGAAGAUUAAUACCCCAUAAUAUAUUGAGUGGCAUCACUUAAUAUUGAAAACUCCGGUGGAUAGAGAUGGGCACGCGCAAGAUUAGAUAGUUGGUGAGGUAACGGCUCACCAAGUCUGCGAUCUUUAGGGGGCCUGAGAGGGUGAUCCCCCACACUGGUACUGAGACACGGACCAGACUCCUACGGGAGGCAGCAGUGAGGAAUAUUGGACAAUGGGUGCGAGCCUGAUCCAGCCAUCCCGCGUGAAGGACGACGGCCCUAUGGGUUGUAAACUUCUUUUGUAUAGGGAUAAACCUACUCUCGUGAGAGUAGCUGAAGGUACUAUACGAAUAAGCACCGGCUAACUCCGUGCCAGCAGCCGCGGUAAUACGGAGGGUGCAAGCGUUAUCCGGAUUUAUUGGGUUUAAAGGGUCCGUAGGCGGAUCUGUAAGUCAGUGGUGAAAUCUCACAGCUUAACUGUGAAACUGCCAUUGAUACUGCAGGUCUUGAGUGUUGUUGAAGUAGCUGGAAUAAGUAGUGUAGCGGUGAAAUGCAUAGAUAUUACUUAGAACACCAAUUGCGAAGGCAGGUUACUAAGCAACAACUGACGCUGAUGGACGAAAGCGUGGGGAGCGAACAGGAUUAGAUACCCUGGUAGUCCACGCCGUAAACGAUGCUAACUCGUUUUUGGGCUUUCGGGUUCAGAGACUAAGCGAAAGUGAUAAGUUAGCCACCUGGGGAGUACGAACGCAAGUUUGAAACUCAAAGGAAUUGACGGGGGCCCGCACAAGCGGUGGAUUAUGUGGUUUAAUUCGAUGAUACGCGAGGAACCUUACCAAGGCUUAAAUGGGAAAUGACAGGCUUAGAAAUAGGCUUUUCUUCGGACAUUUUUCAAGGUGCUGCAUGGUUGUCGUCAGCUCGUGCCGUGAGGUGUUAGGUUAAGUCCUGCAACGAGCGCAACCCCUGUCACUAGUUGCCAUCAUUAAGUUGGGGACUCUAGUGAGACUGCCUACGCAAGUAGAGAGGAAGGUGGGGAUGACGUCAAAUCAUCACGGCCCUUACGCCUUGGGCCACACACGUAAUACAAUGGCCGGUACAGAGGGCAGCUACACUGCGAAGUGAUGCAAAUCUCGAAAGCCGGUCUCAGUUCGGAUUGGAGUCUGCAACUCGACUCUAUGAAGCUGGAAUCGCUAGUAAUCGCGCAUCAGCCAUGGCGCGGUGAAUACGUUCCCGGGCCUUGUACACACCGCCCGUCAAGCCAUGGAAGUCUGGGGUACCUGAAGUCGGUGACCGUAACAGGAGC
rnacentral:rRNA from 1 species